rnacentral:rRNA from 1 species
CCUACGGGGGGCAGCAGUGGGGAAUAUUGGACAAUGGGGGGAACCCUGAUCCAGCCAUGCCGCGUGUGUGAAGAAGGCCCUCGGGUUGUAAAGCACUUUCAGUGAGGAAGAACGCCUGGUGGUUAAUACCCAUCAGGAAAGACAUCACUCACAGAAGAAGCACCGGCUAACUCCGUGCCAGCAGCCGCGGUAAUACGGAGGGUGCGAGCGUUAAUCGGAAUUACUGGGCGUAAAGCGCGCGUAGGUGGCUUGAUAAGUCGGUUGUGAAAGCCCCGGGCUCAACCUGGGAACGGCAUCCGGAACUGUCAGGCUAGAGUGCAGGAGAGGAAGGUAGAAUUCCCGGUGUAGCGGUGAAAUGCGUAGAGAUCGGGAGGAAUACCAGUGGCGAAGGCGGCCUUCUGGACUGACACUGACACUGAGGUGCGAAAGCGUGGGUAGCAAACAGGAUUAGAUACCCCAGUAGUC